UGGACCUUAAAACAUCCUAAAAA
rnacentral:tRNA from 1 species